UAGGGAAUAUUGGACAAUGGGGGCAACCCUGAUCCAGCCAUGCCGCGUGAGUGAAGAAGGCCCUCGGGUUGUAAAGCUCUUUUGUCCGGAAAGAAAAGCAUUCGGUGAAUACCCGGAUGUUCCGACGGUACCGGAAGAAUAAGCACCGGCUAACUUCGUGCCAGCGGCCGCGGUAAUACGAAGGGUGCAAGCGUUACUCGGAAUUACUGGGCGUAAAGCGUGCGUAGGUGGUUGUUUAAGUCUGAUGUGAAGGCCCUGGGCUCAACCUGGGAAUGGCAUUGGAAACUGGGCAGCUAGAGUGCGGUAGAGGGUAGUGGAAUUCCCGGUGUAGCAGUGAAAUGCGUAGAGAUCGGGAGGAACAUCUGUGGCGAAGGCGACUGCCUGGACCAGCACUGACACUGAGGCACGAAAGCGUGGGGAGCAAACA
rnacentral:rRNA from 1 species